UACGUAGGGGGCGAGCGUUGUCCGGAGUUACUGGGCGUAAAGGGCGUGCAGGCGGUGCGGUAAGUUUGGCGUGACAGUCCCCGGCUUAACUGGGGAAGGCCUCCAAAGACUGCCGGACUUGAGGGCCAGAGAGGGACAUAGAAUUCCGGGUGGAGUGGUGAAAUGCGUAGAUAUCCGGAGGAAUACCAAAGGCGAAGGCAGUGUCCUGGCUGGCAUCUGACGCUGAGGCGCGAAAGCUAGGGGGAGCAAACGGG
rnacentral:rRNA from 1 species